AAAGAAAGAAAGAAAGAAAGAAAGAAAGAAAGAAAGAAAGAAAGAAAGCAAACAAAGGAAGGAAGGAAGGAAGGAAGGAAGGAAGGAAGGAAGGAAGGAAGGAAGGAAGGAAGGAAAGAGGGCAUUGCUUCAAAUCUGUUGGAGAUAUGUAAUUUAAAAAUCUCAUUGGAUAUUUCUAAUACACUACUAAUGAUACCUUAGAAACUGGCUCAAUGAUAGAGGGAUUUCUAAGCAGUGUAAUUUCUACAUUCGAUGAACAGCUCCAUGAAUAUGCAAUAUAAAGAAUGAUUGCAGCUAACAUUGUUUCUAAUAAGGCUUAUUCCAAUCUCUGGGUUGCUUUUAAUAAUCACAUAGUCAUUCAGAAGAUUUGUUCUCCUGCUCCAUUUUGAAGGCUGUUCUGUGCUUCAUAAAAUCAGUUCAUAUAAAACCACUGAGUUGAUUUUUCAUUUUGCCUUUUCUGGAUACCUAGGGAUACAAUUGCAACUUGUCAUUUAUUCUAUAUGCAUUUUUGAAAGAUAACAUUUUUUUGUAUUUUGGGGCUGUUGUAAAUAAAAUGCUGUAAUUACAUAGCUUAUAAACAACAAACAACUGUCACAUCCCAACCUAGAGGCUGAGAAGGCCAAGUAGAGCCAGCAGAGGUGGGUUCUAGUGUGAGCACACACUUCCUGCCUCACAGAUGAUGGUCUUGCUGUGCUUUCUCCUGUCAGAUGGGCAAAGGAUGUUCUUGGAGGCCUCUUUUAUGAGCACAAUAAGCCAAACCUGAGAGUCAGAGCCCUCAAUGUGAGCCCUUCACACAGGCUCCGCCACCACACACCCCCGUCUUGUGACUAAAUCUCAACAUAAUGGACUGGGAGAGUGGAUGGCACAAGGGUUCUGACUGUCACACCUGGGUGCGUGUCAUUCAAUAAGAGCAAUGAUGACUUGUUCCACCUAGAAAGUGCUCUGAAUAGAGAGGCAUCUCAAUGCAAUUUCUUCACCAUUACUCACUCAUCUUUUUGUGAUAUCACUUUCCUUUAUUAUCCAGAAACAUAAGUGGAGGAGGGAGAGCUACAGGGCAUGGAUCCACAGAAGAGGAAGUAGGAUAUCACUGUGAUAUAUUCUUUGUUUGUUUGUUUGUUUGUUUGUUUGUUUGUUUGAACUGAGUGUCAGAGAUCCUAGCAGGGUUCUACUCUAUGGACUGGAUGCCUCUUCUGUGAGGUCUUGAAUUCAUGGAAGUGAUUAAAAUCUGAUUUGGAUAGAUUAGCAUAUCUCAGAGAUUUCUAAUUAACUGAGAUUCUCUUCCCCUUGUCUUUUUUUCUCCCUCUUUCUUUUCAUUUUCAUUUUCAUUUUUUUUCUUGCCUUGAUUUUUGUUUUUAUUAAGUCAUUUUUUUUCUUUGUUAGGCAGAAUCUCACAUCAUAACCCCAAAUGACCUGUUACUCACCAUGUGGCCCAGCUGUCUUCAAACUCACCAGCCUCCUGCCUUAGCCUUCUAAAUGCUUGGAUUACAGGCAUGACCCACCAUAACUGGCUUUGUUUUAGUUUCAGAGAAGAUGAAACUGAUGUGCGUCAAAAAGCUUCGACAAUUCUGUGGAGAUAAACUUUCAGUAGACGUGGAGCAGAUUAUCACAGUUGAAUUGUGCUGAGAGAAGAGCUGAAAUGACUAAGCUCACAGGAAAACUACCAAAGGGCGUUACUGAAUGUCCAGUUUACAGUCUCCAAAGGGGAGCUGCCUCUGCUGGUGGUGAUGCAUGGAACAUGGCUUUAUUGUGUGAACCUUGGAAAUGGACACCAGAGAGUCCUGGACUUGUAGUCGGUGUAGCAGAAGUUGAUCUGGGGCCGAGGUCUUAAGAUUUCUGAGGCUCAAGACAUGAGUAAUAGAUUGCUAGUCUUUCCAUGGAUGAGAACCGGCAAAAUCUCUAAGUGAGAAAUCACAUCAUCUAUAGUUCAAAGCAGAGUUCCUAUUCCAAUGAGAAAGAAUACUCAUCAGAAGGUCAAGGCAUGCAACCAACCAAUCCAUACGAUGUGUUCCAAUAUGCUCAACUCUGCUCUCAAUGUUUUGCAGCAUGUCAGAAUGUAAACUUAACAGCAACCUCUGAGGUGUUAAAUACAGACAAGUCAAAGUAGAUUAAAUCUAUUUCAACAUAAAGAUUUGAACAUGGCACUCUGCCCCGGAAAUGCAUGUGACCCCCUCAAUAUGCUGCCUUUGCUGCACAACUGUCUUUUUGUACUCUUGUAAUGUUGAUGGCUUGUGCAUCAUCAAAACCAAACAAACGUCUGUUGGACUGACAGACGAUUAAGAGUCAAUGUCUGAGUGGAGGAUAAAUGUGAGAAACUCCACUAGGAGGAGACAACCUUUCCUCCAUCAAAAAGACAGCGCUAAGAAUCCUUACCAUUGUAAUCUGGUCCAUAGAGAGAGCAGCAUCCUUUCCCUAACGAUUACCCAUUUCCUAUUAGCAAAUGACUCCUGUGAUGCUUCCCCAGCUAAAAUAGGACCCAAAUUGGCUAAGUACCAUAGACAAUAUGUGCAAUUCUGUUUUUAAAAAUCACCAGAAGUAAAAGGGUCCAUUCAAAUAAAUGGAACAAGAAUGUCCUGAGCCAAACGUGGAAGAUUGCCUCUUCAUUUCCAGACUUUGUUUUGGUGUCAAAGCAGUUCUCUAAACACUGGCUGUUAAACAUUUCUAGUAAAAGGGAUAGUGUUUGUCAAUUUCAGCUUGAAUGAAGCCCAUGGAAGGGAAAACAAACUUUGUCACCAGUAUCUUUCAUUCAGCUAUAAUUUUUUUCUUCAUUAGAGUAAAAUGAAGCCUAGGAUUAUGAGAUUUUUCUGGCUUUUACAGUACUGGGUAUUUAACAGUUCUAUUGCUCUGUCUUACUCUAGUGCUGUGCUUGUAUGGCCACCGAGUGAGUGUCCAUUUGAGGGUGUUCUGAACAAAGGCCUGUUCCCUAAGCUCUUCUAGACUGGGGCACGAAAAGAAUACAUUUCUGUUGAGAGUCACGAUUCUAAUCCUAGCAAGUGUUAUCCUACUGGGUUUCCCUGGAAAUGGUCCUCCAGGUCUGAAUCAAAAUUCAUUAUCUUCUAAGUUGGGAAGAAAAUGUAUAGAGGGAAAGAAAUCUGCCAUUUCUUCAAGUGUUUCAUACAAGUAUGAUUGACUUAGCCACUGAAUGCUUGGCACGAUAUUUGAACAUACUGAAAAUUUAGGCUGAGAGGGUUUUCAAAUAACUGAAGGCCAUAUGGUGACCUUCCUAAAAAUUACUUUGCAUAUUCAGUGUGGACUGUUGAGAAAUCAUUUGCCAGUUUUAUGACUUCUUGGCUUCCAGCCCAUUCAGCUUAGGCCUUCUCUGGUCAUGCAGUCAUAUUUCCACAACUGUGUGAUAGGAUCUCUGCCAGUGCUAUCUGAAUUCCUUACAGCUGUCCUCGGUAGCCCUUCUGUUUGCUCAGAGAGGGGCAGACUCUUUUCUCAGUAGAAUCACGAAUGCUGCCUUUAAGUUUUGUUUGCACAUGGACACAGUCAUAAACAGACCCCUUCUCUCAAUCACUCAUCUAUUAACUAGCGCUAGUUCAUUCACCAUUGUCAUGGUGGGCUUUCCGUGUGUGUCUUGUUCUAUGCUACAUAAAUAAGUGAGAACUGCUGAGUAUCCUUCAAGAUCCAGUGGUCUGAUAAGAAUGAGGGAUACAUGAGUCAACAUUAGAGUAGCUAGUGCCACAUUCUUCAGAAGGCAAACACGCAUAAUGAGGUCUUGAGGGCGGAUGUGACUUGAGGAGGAGAAGUGGGAAGCAAGACCAGAAGAUGACUUUGAGGGCAUUAAGGACCUAUUCUCACAGAUUUUGGAGGCUUUUCAGCACAUUUGCUCUAUUUUGUCACUGACACAUUCUUUAUGAGACCACACGACACACUAAGAAGAGAACAGACAUGAAGUAUAUUUCUGUCACUUGCUAAUUUAUGUCUUUGACAAAUGACCCUACUUCUGCUAUGGCAGAAGACAUUUGCCAGUCCAAUACUGGUCCACAUCUAGACUCCAUACUCUUUGUCCAGAAAUGUUCUCUCUGCCAUAGUCUUGGUGUUAUCAGUUUGUGCUGUGAAAAACUAAUUGCUUUCCCUAUCAUGCUGAUCAGUCUCCCAGAAUAGAGUUUAUAAUGUCCAGUUGUAGCAGUGAAUAGUUAAGCCACACUGAGCUCCCAACUGUUCAAGAAUACUCUGCACCAGCCCAAGAACUCUGCAUUCAUGAAUCAAAGACACACAUACAUGCACAGAGAGAGAGAGAGAGAGAGAGAGAGAGAGAGAGAGAGAGAGAGAUUGAUUGAUUGAUUGAUUAAUUGAUUGAUUUAGUAUGCAGCUAGCACACACUCCCUCUGGUAUUCCUGAGUUAUCAUUUUCUAAAUCUAUAUUUUAUCUUUGCUUCCCCAGACCUAAGCAGGGGAGUGACCCCUGGGGCCACUUCCCUGACUCUUGCAUGCUGGCAGGCCUUUAAUUCUGAUCUCUUGGCUUCCCCACCAUAGCGUGGUCCAUUCUACUACCCUCUCAUGUAGAAUCCCUUCUUCUUCUCCCCUGCAUUUCUUGCCCAGGAAUCCUAAAAGUCCCGCCUCUUUCACUCUGCCCAGCCAUUGGCUGUUGGCUCUUAAUUGAUUAAUCAAAAACCAAUUGGGGACAGGAACCUUCACCGUCUGGGCAUGCAGAUUCUCAUGUGAUUUUUGGAGUCGAAUUAAGACAAAGCAUUUGAACCAAUCCCAACAUCUGGCCUUGGUUCACAACAUGAGACCCACCCAGUUCUCUGCAAGAAGACUUAAUAAUGGAUGUUGGGGAAGCAACCAAUAGUACUGCUCCUCGCUGGUGUAGGCCUCCUAGCUUCCAGUAGAAAGAUCAUCACUUCUCUACAGAGUCAGAAUGGUGAAUUAUGUUUAUAAUAACACUUCUGUAGUUCCAGAUUAUAAAAUAUGAUUAUGUCAAUUUUCUGCCACAUCCUAUGAGCCUUGUUUGAAGCCCAUGCUUAGAGAAAGUUUACAUUAUCUUUCUUCCAGGCAAUGACUACAACAUUACUCUAUUUUCUUUAAGGAAAAAAAAAAAAAAAGAAAGAAACACCGACUCUUGUAACUGAUUCUUUGAAAUAGGAAUUGAUUUCGUUCUAUUGUGCAUUACAAGUCUGUAAUUCCCUUUUUGAUUUUUCAGAGGGUUAGAGUUAAAAGAUUGCCUUGAAUAUCACAAAAAAAAUUUGGACUUUGAGACUGUACUGAGAUCAUGGAAAACUGGGGAAUUUUAACAUUUGAUAAGUGAAUUUUGCAUUAUGGUUUGGCUACAAGCUUAUGAGGGCUCAGGGAUUAUAAUGUGGUGGUUUGAAUAAGAAUGGACCCCAUAGGCUCAUGUAUUUGAAUGCUUGGUCUCCAGUGAGUGGUACUGUUUGAGACUGAAUAGGAAGUAUGGCCUUGUUGGAGGAGGUGUGUCACUAGGGGGUGGGCUUUGUGAUUUCAAAAGCCUAAGCCAUUUCCUGUUGGCUCUUUGUCUCAGUCGGCUUCCAACUAGGACAAGCCAUAAAUUCUCAGCUCCUGCCACAGCUCUAUGCCUCACCGCCUUGUUGUCCUGUUGAUGGUCAUGAACUCUAAACUCUGGAACCAUGAACCUCAAUAAACAUGUUCUUUCUUAAGUUGUUUUUGCCAUGGUGACUUUCUAGCAAUAGAAAAGUAAAUAAGACAGUUUUUUUUUUUUGUUUUUUUUUACAGAAAUUAACAUCUAAAUUCCUGUUUAACUGGAUAGACAAUUCUAAGUCAUUUUAUUUUAUUUUCAGCACCUAGAAAACAAAACUGUAUUAUCACCUUGCUUCCUAUUGCUCUGUUCCAAAGCUCUAUAACGAUAUUUUACUAUUCUGUGUUCUUCAGAAUUAUUUUGUUCUUUCAUUCUUCACAUGUUAAGAAUUUUCUUUUUCUUUUGUCUUUAUAUUUCCAAAUAAUACAUCUCUAUAAAAUAUUUGUUGGCUGUUUGCUCUUGUGACAUAGUGUUUCCUGUGUCCCAGGGUGGUCUCAAACUGGCUAUGUAGGCAAAGAUGACCUUGAACAUCCAACCCCUCCCUCUGCCUCUACUUCCUGACCUCUGAGAUUCUAAGCAUGUGCCCCAUCGCCAGGUCAUGUAACUCUGGGGAUGACCCUGAGCCUUUUGUGUGCUAGGCAGGCACUAUACCAACUGAGCCGUACCCCUAGCCCAAUGAUAUUUCUCUUCUCAAUUUGAUUCUUGUAGAGUUUGUCUCUCUUCUUUUACAUCCUGUUUAUAUUGUAUUAUAAUAUCUAGAAUAGAUGUUAUCAGUUCCUUUCCUUCUGAAGCCACAUAAAAUUCUGUGACUACCUUAUCCACAAACUGAAAUUAUGUUCUUUCUAAUGUUUAGAAAAACACUAAGCCAGGCGGUGGUGGUGCACACCUUUAAUCCCAGCACUUGGAGGCAGAGGCAGGCAAAUUUCUGAGUUCUAGGCCAGUCUGGUCUACAGAGUGAGUUCUAGGACAGCCAGGGCUAUA
rnacentral:lncRNA from 1 species